UGUAGGAGUGAGCCUGCUCGCGAUAGCGGUGUAUCAGAUACAUAGACGUUGACUGACACUCCGCUAUCGCGAGCAGGCUCACUCCUACA
rnacentral:misc_RNA from 1 species